UACGUAGGGCGCAAGCGUUUAUCCGGAAUUAUUGGGCGUAAAGAGCUCGUAGGCGGUUUGUCGCGUCUGCUGUGAAAGACCGGGGCUCAACUCCGGUUCUGCAGUGGGUACGGGCAGACUAGAGUGAUGUAGGGGAGACUGGAAUUCCUGGUGUAGCGGUGAAAUGCGCAGAUAUCAGGAGGAACACCGAUGGCGAAGGCAGGUCUCUGGGCAUUAACUGACGCUGAGGAGCGAAAGCAUGGGGAGCGAACAGG
rnacentral:rRNA from 1 species